rnacentral:rRNA from 1 species
AAUGAACGUUGGCGGCGUGGAUUAGGCACGCAAGUCGAGCGCGAUAUGUAGCAAUACAUGGAGAGCGGCGAAAGGGAGAGUAAUACGUAGGUAUCUACCCUCGGGUCUGGGAUAGCAGCGGGAAACUGCUGGUAAUACCAGAUAACGUCUCCGGACCAAAGGUGUGAUUCCACCUGAGGAGGAGCCUACGGCCUAUUAGCUAGUUGGUAGGGUAACGGCCUACCAAGGCAAAGAUGGGUAUGGGGUGUGAGAGCAUGCCCCCACUCUCUGGGACUGAGACACUGCCCAGACACCUACGGGUGGCUGCAGUCGAGAAUCUUCGGCAAUGGGCGAAAGCCUGACCGAGCGACGCCGCGUGCGGGAUGAAGGCCUUCGGGUUGUAAACCGCUGUCGUAGUGGAGGAAAUGUAGGAGAGUUAUCUCUUCUACUUGACUAAUACUAGGAGGAAGGACCGGCUAAUCUCGUGCCAGCAGCCGCAGUAAGAC